GACGAACGCUGGCGGCGUGCCUAAUACAUGCAAGUAGAACGCUGAAGAGAGGAGCUUGCUCUUCUUGGAUGAGUUGCGAACGGGUGAGUAACGCGUAGGUAACCUGCCUUGUAGCGGGGGAUAACUAUUGGAAACGAUAGCUAAUACCGCAUAACAAUGGAUGACACAUGUCAUUUAUUUGAAAGGGGCAAUUGCUCCACUACAAGAUGGACCUGCGUUGUAUUAGCUAGUAGGUGAGGUAAUGGCUCACCUAGGCGACGAUACAUAGCCGACCUGAGAGGGUGAUCGGCCACACUGGGACUGAGACACGGCCCAGACUCCUACGGGAGGCAGCAGUAGGGAAUCUUCGGCAAUGGGGGCAACCCUGACCGAGCAACGCCGCGUGAGUGAAGAAGGGUUUCGGAUCGUAAAGCUCUGUUGUAAGUCAAGAACGGGUGUGAGAGUGGAAAGUUCACACUGUGACGGUAGCUGACCAGAAAGGAACGGCUAACUACGUG
rnacentral:rRNA from 1 species